CUUAAUGUGGCAGAUUAGUGCGAUGAAUUUAAGAUUCAUUUAUAAAGAUUUAUCUUUCAUUAAGA
rnacentral:tRNA from 1 species